UACGGAGGGAGCAAGCGUUGUUCGGAAUCACUGGGCGUAGAGCGCGUGUAGGCGGCUUGGUAAGUCGGGUGUGAAAGCCCGGAGCUCAACUCCGGAACUGCAUUCGAAACUACCUCGCUCGAGUCCCGGAGAGGGUGGUGGAAUUCCCGGUGUAGAGGUGAAAUUCGUAGAUAUCGGGAGGAACACCAGUGGCGAAGGCGGCCACCUGGACGGUGACUGACGCUGAGACGCGAAAGCGUGGGGAGCUAACAGG
rnacentral:rRNA from 1 species